rnacentral:rRNA from 1 species
AUGUGCAGCAGAUCCAUCAUGCAUGAGUACUUUCUCUUGCAUCAAAUCUAUCUCAUAUGUCAUGAGGUAGGAGAGAGAUCUUGGAGGAGUGAAUGCAUAAGAGGGGGGGUGUUUACCUGUGUUUUUUCUGCAUCUCCAGCCAGAUUUGUGUCCCAGAUCAUGGAGGAAUUGCCCUCUCUGGUGUGGACCCAUAAGUGGAUUUACAUUGUAAUUCCUACUGGAUUUACAGUGUUUUUCUUAGUGGAUAUCCAGUGUAAUUCCAAGUGGAUUUACACUGUAAUUACUACUGGAUUUACAGUGUUUUUCCUAGUGGGUUUCCACUGUAAUUCUAAGUGGAUUUACAUUGUAAUUCCUACUGGAUUUACAAUGUUUUUCUUAGUGGAUUUACACUGA